rnacentral:rRNA from 1 species
GAUGAACGCUAGCGGCAGGCCUAAUACAUGCAAGUCGAACGGGAUUGCGGUAGUAGCUUGCUACUACUGCAUGAGAGUGGCGCACGGGUGCGUAACGCGUGAGCAACCUACCCAUAUCAGGGGGAUAGCCCGGCGAAAGUCGGAUUAACACCGCAUAACAUCAACAGUUCGCAUGUUCAGUUGAUUAAAUAUUUAUAGGAUAUGGAUGGGCUCGCGUGACAUUAGCUAGUUGGUAGGGUAACGGCUUACCAAGGCAACGAUGUCUAGGGGCUCUGAGAGGAGAAUCCCCCACACUGGUACUGAGACACGGACCAGACUCCUACGGGAGGCAGCAGUAAGGAAUAUUGGUCAAUGGGCGCAAGCCUGAACCAGCCAUGCCGCGUGCAGGAGGACUGCCCUAUGGGUUGUAAACUGCUUUUAUCAGGGAAUAAACCCCUUUACGAGUAGAGGGUUGAAUGUACCUGAAGAAUAAGGAGCGGCUAACUCCGUG